UCCUCAAGUCGGCCUCUCCAGACCCACUUGCACCCUCCGGGCGUUCUCUCCGGGCCCAGCUCUUCUUCCUGGUUGGGUCUCCAGGCCCGAUUCCUGCCUCUCAACAACCUCUUUGGACUCAGUGCCUACCCAUCUCCUGGCGGCCUUGGUCGGUCCACAGCUUCCUCAAGCCAAGCUCCCCAGGCCCAGGUCAGGCCUCACGGUGGCCUCUCCAGGAUGAGCUCCUGCCCUCCGAUGGCAUCUCCAGGCCCCAAAUGGUCUCCGGUCGGUGGGCUCCUCCACGC
rnacentral:lncRNA from 1 species